CCUCGGCCAUUGUUAGCUCUGUGUUGAGAUUGACAGUUUUGAAGCUUUGUGGAGCAGAGGUGCACCAUGGCUUGCCACAAGGUCACAACUGGUCCCUGGAGAGCCGCUGGUGGUGACGGGUUGCCUGUGCCCUCUCUGCGGCAAAACUCCACACAUACUCCACUCACCAAGUUCCAGAGGGAGAGGAUCACCGGCCGUACUAAAGGAAGUGGCUCUAUGUAGGGAUGGAACAUGGCAACUGCACCAGCUGGGAUACACCUAGCCAACUAUUGUGUUAAGAAUAUGGAGAAAGACGGACCAAGGCAAGAAGAGGAGGAGGAGGAA